GAUAACUCAGCCUCUGCUCUGUGCUUGCGAGCAGGUGCUGUUACUGUCCCCUUUAACAGAUAAGGAGGUCGAGGCACAGCAGUACAGCCCACGACCUCCCAAAACCAAAAGGACGACGCAGACCUGUCCGUCUGGGUCCGUUCGUGGUCAUGGCGAAUCGGAGACCCCAGGGAAAGGGCCUCCGUGGUGAAGUGCGUAGCUGGCAGGCAUUCAGUCCGUGCUGGCCACCAUCAGUCUGUCGCUGACAACACGUGCUGUGACAGCAAGCAGCAAUCUGGCCCCUGCCAGCCUGUCGUUCGGAGCACUCCCAGCAGAAGACCCACCUCCGAAACAUCCCUUCUCCACUCACAUCGUUUCUGCCCCUGCCUGAAGAUGAGCAGCCUCUCGUCUGGAACACAGGUCCUCGUGGGCCUGAGGCCCAGAUGUUCUGCAACAUCAGGACCCUGAGGAUUCUACUGAGCACCUGCCAUGUGCCAGGGACACGCCCCAGGGGGAGCAAGGAAGGGGCAGAUGGAACCGUCUCUCUGGCAAAAGGCGCUCCCACGGGGGGAGGGGGACCACACGACAGGCCUGAGUGGUGAACACAACAGAGAUAAGUCGGACCAGAGGAAGGACAGUGCGUGACCCGAAGCUGUGAAAUAAAGGGGUGAAAGCAGGUGUCCCGCCCCGGGGGAGGGGCGCUCCCCGAGGCUGCCACUGCUCACUGCGCAGGAAAGAACCUGAACCGGCCUGGGAGGCAGAGCUCAGCCCAGAGGCAGGGUGGAGGGUGGGCACCGCGAGGGGGGCAGCACAGGAGGUGGGGCAGCGGGAGCCAUGGUGGGGAGAAUUCUGACUUCUGGUGUCUUCUCGCAGGAUCCCUGGCGGGUAAGGAGCUCAUUUCCUAACAUCAGUCAGAGGAGGACUCCAAGGGACUAUCCCAAAGUAUCCUGAAUGGUAUACAAAGAACUACGGUGCAUCAGCACAAAAGAUAAUUAUCCAACAGAAAAUGAGCAAAGGAUAUGAAGAGGCAAUGGUCAUAAAAUGAAUGCACCACCACCAUCCUGGUCCAGCCAGCUGCCACCUGAACCGCCAAACUCGGCCCCCACUCCCCACUCACGGUCCAUUCUCCACACACAGCCAGAGGGAUCCUGUCAGAACGACGUGAGACCCUGUCCCUCCCCUGCUCGGAACCUUCCUAAGGCACCUACAACACUCAGAGAAGACAAAGACCCCGCAGUGGCCCACAAGGCCCUGCCUAUCUGGCCCCAUCGCCUCUCUGACCUCACUCCCCUGCUCUCUCCCUCAGAUCCUCCUCUGGCCUCCUCACUGUUCCUCAGACACAGUCCUGCCACAGGGCCUUUGCACUAGCUAUGCCCUCUAUCUGGCAGACUCUUCCCCCGGCUACCUGUACGGCCCCCUUCCUCACCUUCUCCUGGUCUUUGCUCAGUCACCCUCGCAGCCCAUCACCUGGUCCUUACCAACCAUCUGAGCCUGAAAUAUUUCUCCUCCACAGCAACAUGACAACUCUACAAACACGUUCAUUUCCUAUUCGCCCACUGUCUCCCCCAGCAGAGUGGCAGUCCCACAGAGGUAGGGCUCUGGGCCGUUUUGUCCACUGUGCACCUAGCACCUAGGAUGAAGCCUUCCACGUAACAGGGACUCCACAGCAGUUGGGGAAUGAAUAAACGGCCUUAAAACCCUCCGAUGGUGCAGCACCACCCAGAACCCUCUCCUAGAGGGAAUCGGGAAGACUCCCGGGAAUUUGCCAAGAGAAGAACACGCUCACUGUGGGGUUCGCUGGUUUCCAGGGCUGCCCGCCUCCUCCCCCCACCGCUCGCCGCCCAUAAAGGUUCUUCACGUGCCAGCUCUGAGCCGUACGUGUCCCAACUCCGGGAAACACGCCAGCCCCCGGCCAUUGGGGCACUGAGGGAACAGCAACAAACAAAACAGGCCUAAACCCCUGCCCUGGCCAAGCCGACGCCCUAAUGAGGAGUCAGAAAAAAUCAAUCCGUACACCAGGAGUCAUAGAACAGAAUGUGAGCUAGGGAGAGGGACUGUGAAGAAAAAUUCAAACAGGGUGAAGGGACAGAAAAUGGCAGAGGUGCUUCUUCUGCUAUAGCUGGGGUGGUCAGACAAGGCCUCUCCACGGAGGGGACAAGUGAGCAACAGAGCCCUGACGAGAUUAGAGAGCGAGCCUCAGGAUAUCUAAGGCCACAAAGUGGAUGAGGCCACUCGGGAGCAAGUCUAGAGAGAGAAAAGGCCCAAAGACUGAGCCCUGGGCCCACUUGUGAUUGGAGGUCCGAAAGGUGCAUGAAUGAGGCACCAUCAGCCAAAUUAAUCCACCAGCAGGGACCCCCAAGGAACAGCCGUCAGAUGCCAGGCCUUCGGGAUGGAGCCAGGGCAGGCUUGGGCCAACGGCCACCAUUUCCAAGGGUCGAAAACCCUGGGCGGAGAGCAGCGGAUGGUGGCAGGGCCAUCCACCCAGCUGGGGAUCCACCCAGAAGCGAACUCUGAAGCUGAGAAUUAAGAUUUCUGGGGCGCCUGAGUGGAUCAGUCGGUUAAGCAUCUGACUCUUGAUUUUGGCUCAGGUCAUGAUCUCGGGGUCAUGGGAUCGAGGCCCUUAUUGGGCUCUACACUAGGCAUGGGGCCUGCUUGAGAUUCUCUCUCCCUCUCCCUCUGCCCCUCCCCUGCACUCUCUCUCUCCCUCUCUCUCUCUCUUUCUCACACACACACACACACAAUAAAUAAAAAAUUAAAAAAUAAUAAUAAUUUAAAAAAGAAUUCUUGGGUCACCACCCAAGCAGCAACUCUUCCCUGGCCCGCCCUACCAACACUAAAUCAAAGGUGGCUAAACAGUGAAGAAGACAGCAGGUGUGUGGUUUGAGCUCAGUGCACCCAGCAUCACCCGUACCCUCUUCUGCAAACAGCCAGGACAGUGAUGAGGAGCUCCCGCGUCCCCCACCACCCCACCGGCUUGUGGCCUGUGGGAUCAUGUGAUUGGUUGGAGGUUGGAGCACAUGACAUAAAUCUGCACCAAUUAGAGCUCGUCUGCUCAGAGUGACUGGGUCAGGCGUGGAGCACCUGAUCCUGAUAUCAGCCAAUGAAAACAUAGCGCUGCCCAGCUCACGGUCACUGGACCACGUCUCAACCAAUCAGAGCCCAACACUGCCCAGCUCAUAGCCACUGGGGUAAAGUGCAAGCUCAAGCACCCGGGAGAAGAAUAGAGGGCACAGGCAAAGAUUUCAUGUAAUUGGCUCACAUUAAACCACAUGACUCAGGCCCAAACCACUCAGAACAUCACAUUCUUCCAGCCACAGGUGGCCAAAGCCUGAGGGACUCUGGGAACUCAUGUCAGAGCUACUAAAAGAAAGGUUCCCUCUUUCCCACUACCCUUGAACUUUGGGAGGUGUGAGGCCAGGGUAACACGACCACCUGGUACCACACGGAAAACAGAGCUAAACAGUGGAAAGCAGAAGGUCGUGGAGGCAUCCGGCCCGGCCCAGAGCCAGCACCACCCCUAUACGUCUCAGCUACUUGAACUCACAAGUGUUUUGAUUAAGCCAGUCAGAGCUGGGUUUUCCUGUCACUUCUAUUGCAGAGAGAGGAGAUGGGGGAACAUCUCACCUUGAGGAGAAGGGGGUACUUGCAAAUCCUCUGAAUUGGAGACAGCAGGUAGCCCUCCAGAGGGAUGUCUGUGGUCUUCCGGCCUCCCAGAAGCAUGCAACUC